rnacentral:rRNA from 1 species
GCCUGACCAGCCAUGCCGCGUGCAGGAAGACGGCCUUCUGGGUUGUAAACUGCUUUUCUACGGGAAGAAAAUGCCCUUGCGAGGGAAAUUGCCGGUACCGUAGGAAUAAGCACCGGCUAACUCCGUGCCAGCAGCCGCGGUAAUACGGAGGGUGCAAGCGUUGUCCGGAUUUAUUGGGUUUAAAGGGUGCGUAGGCGGAUCUUUAAGUCAGUGGUGAAAGCCUGCAGCUUAACUGUAGAACUGCCAUUGAUACUGGAGGUCUUGAGUACACUAGAGGUAGGCGGAAUUUAUGGUGUAGCGGUGAAAUGCAUAGAUACCAUAAAGAACACCUAUAGCGUAGGCAGCUUACUGGAGUGUAACUGACGCUGAGGCACGAAAGCAUGGGGAGCGAACAGGAUUAGAUACCCUGGUAGUCCAUGCCGUAAACGAUGAUUACUCGAUGUUGGCGAUAUACUGUCAGCGUCCAAGCGAAAGCGUUAAGUAAUCCACCUGGGGAGUACGCUCGCAAGAGUGAAACUCAAA